UUGGUCGAGUCUGUCUCUGAAAUCAUUCUGUGUUUAAAUUUAUUUGAUAUAGAUGCCUGCCAAGCUGGCUGGCAUGGAAGUAGCGAGGUUAAGCUAUAUAUUCGAUGUGGAGAUGAAAUGGCAGAAGAAGAAGAUGAGCUGAGAACAGUGGGACAGACGGUAGGAAGAACCUAGACCAGAUCCAAAUACGGCACUUUAAAAAAGAAAGCGCUUAAAGCGAUGUUGGUGUUACGCAACUGGGACUAAUCAUAUCAAAACCGUCACACAGAGAACUGCAUUUACUAUAAACAAAGAAGCCACGAAUUGUCUCAAUAGGAGAUCACUGACUGCCGCUGUGAAAUGUACCACGGUUGUAUAUAACACGCGCUAAAACGUUGCAAUUCUCAUGUUUCAAACAAAGAUGUUGACUAAAUUAUUGAUUAUUGUCGGUAUAUGCGACCCGCGCGCUGCGACGUUUGAGCAGUGCGUUUUACAAGAUAUAGUGAAUAGGUGUUCUUCGACUAGCAAUUUGUUAUGAAUGGUUUGUAUGAAGUGCAAAUGUUCGUGAUACUCAAUUAAAUGCAGUAAACAACCCCGUUGUUUCGUUCAGCACGAUUUUGUAAUAUUUCAAGGUUUUUCUCUUUGAGCUCUAUGUAGGACUUACGGUGCACUAAACGCAAAUUCGCAGUGACAUAUCCUUCUUUUUGUGCAGCGAUAAGAUAAGAUAAGAUAAAGUUUAUUCAACUUGGUCAUACAUUUAGCUCUAUUAUAAAAAUGUUGCCUAAUUUAUAGGAGAAAGAACUACAUAAAUUUAUGUCUGAGUUUAUAGGAGGCAAAUAAACGAGAAAUGAAGAAAGAAAUGCUGAUUUACUAUUUGGAUAGUCACUUAAAAUCGCUAAUAUCCAGUCGUCAUUACUUUCUAAUGGCGGAGUAUUUUUUAUAUAGUUGUAAUAAUAAGAUUAACACUCGUAAUUAUGGCAGUUUUCAUUGAAUACCGUUUUUAAACUGUCUUAUAAAUGCGUGGGUAGAUGAAGAUUCAGUUACAAGUUGCUCUAGYAAACGAUUUUUUUUAUUUA